rnacentral:rRNA from 1 species
AGAGUUUGAUCAUGGCUCAGGACGAACGCUGGCGGCGUGCUUAACACAUGCAAGUCGAACGGAAAGGCCCUUCGGGGUACUCGAGUGGCGAACGGGUGAGUAACACGUGGGUGAUCUGCCCUGCACUUUGGGAUAAGCCUGGGAAACUGGGUCUAAUACCGAAUAGGACCACGCGCUUCAUGGUGUGUGGUGGAAAGCUUUUGCGGUGUGGGAUGGGCCCGCGGCCUAUCAGCUUGUUGGUGGGGUAAUGGCCUACCAAGGCGACGACGGGUAGCCGGCCUGAGAGGGUGACCGGCCACACUGGGACUGAGAUACGGCCCAGACUCCUACGGGAGGCAGCAGUGGGGAAUAUUGCACAAUGGGCGCAAGCCUGAUGCAGCGAUGCCGCGUGAGGGAUGACGGCCUUCGGGUUGUAAACCUCUUUCAAUAGGGACGAAGCGCAAGUGACGGUACCGAUAGAAGAAGCACCGGCCAACUACGUGCCAGCAGCCGCGGUAAUACGUAGGGUGCGAGCGUUGUCCGGAAUUACUGGGCGUAAAGAGCUCGUAGGUGGUUUGUCGCGUUGUUCGUGAAAACUCACAGCUUAACUGUGGGCGUGCGGGCGAUACGGGCAGACUAGAGUACUGCAGGGGAGACUGGAAUUCCUGGUGUAGCGGUGGAAUGCGCAGAUAUCAGGAGGAACACCGGUGGCGAAGGCGGGUCUCUGGGCAGUAACUGACGCUGAGGAGCGAAAGCGUGGGGAGCGAACAGGAUUAGAUACCCUGGUAGUCCAA